ensembl:misc_RNA Metazoa_SRP Metazoan signal recognition particle RNA
GCCGGGUGUGGUGGUGCAUGCCUGUAAUUCCAGCUACUUAGGAGGCUGAGGCAGGAGAAUUGCUUGUACCUGGGAGGCGGAGGUUGCAGUGAGUCAAGAUUGUGCCAUUGCACUCCAGCCUGGGUGACAAAGUGAGACCCUGUCUCAU